GAUAAGGUUGUAUGUCAAAAGGGAAACAGCCCAGAACAAGAGUUAAAGGUUCCAAAAUUAUUGUUAAGUGAAAAUAAGGAAGUUUUCUUCAAAUACAACCAGGAAAUAGGCUUAGAAGCGGCCAUUUUUUGAAGACCUCGUAACAGAGCACUGGUUUAACAUUAAAAGUUGAAAGCACCGAAAAUUUAACGGAUCUAAAACAAUAUACCGAAACCUUGUCUAUAAAUAAAUAUAUUUUUAAAAACAAAAACUUUUUUUUCUUAAGUAUUUUUAUUUAUGGGGUAGCAGAACGUUGGGCAUGUCUUAGACUUAGUAUUUUUAAUAUUAAGUAGGUUCGACGGCGUAUUUAUUAUUUAAAACAAGUAGGUUAAACGCUUAUUUGUUUGAGGUAAUUAAAAAACCCGUUGGAUAAGAUGACCCCAAGUGAGAAUGCUGGCAUGAGUAACGAAAAAGGGAUAGCCCCUCGCCUUAAGCUUAUGGUAUUUAAAUAAAGUAACGGCCUCUAAGUUUAUAAUUGUCCUAAAGGAUUAAACGAUGAGAAAAUCUUUAGAUAUGUCUAACAACAUUGUGAUAUUUUGAGUACAUAAUGUUCUGGAAAAAGACAUAUUAAUAUUUAUAACCAGACUGAAUGUUUUGGUCCCUUCGUGGGUAUAACAUAUAAAUAUUUACAACCGUACCUAGAUACUACCACAAGUAAGCAAGUAGAGUAUACAAAGGCGUUUGAGUUAACAAUCAUUAAGGAACUCGGCAAAAUGACACCGUAACUUAGGGAUAAGGUGUGCCAUUCUUUUUAAGUAAUAUUAAGUUAAGAAUAGGAGGCAUAGAGUGGUGUUGUACGACUGUUUAAUUAAAACAAAGCACUUUGCAUAAGAUGACAAAUCAAAGUAUUGAGUGUGAAUUCUGCCCGAUGUUGGCUGGUUAACGGAUUUUCUUAGCCGACUAAAAUAAGCUAGGUUUUGAAGGAAACCCCAAUCAAUGGCGGCCUUAACGAUAAGGGUCCUAAGGUAGCGGAAUACCUUGGCCGUUAAAUGCGGUCUUGCAUGAAUGGU
rnacentral:ncRNA from 1 species